rnacentral:ncRNA from 1 species
UCCACUAGGGGAGCCAUUUGGCUGAGACGAUUCACUUCGGACCCUUUGAACCUGAUCUAGUUCAUACUAGCGUAGGAAAGUGGAG